AUUGAACGCUGGCGGCAGGCUUAACACAUGCAAGUCGAGCGGGGUGAUGGUGCUUGCACUAUCACUUAGCGGCGGACGGGUGAGUAAUGCUUAGGAAUCUGCCUAUUAGUGGGGGACGACAUCUCGGAAGGGAUGCUAAUACCGCAUACGUCCUACGGGAGAAAGCAGGGGAUCACUUGUGACCUUGCGCUAAUAGAAGAGCCUAAGUCGGAUUAGCUAGUUGGUGGGGUAAAGGCCUACCAAGGCGACGAUCUGUAGCGGGUCUGAGAGGAUGAUCCGCCACACUGGGACUGAGACACGGCCCAGACUCCUACGGGAGGCAGCAGUGGGGAAUAUUGGACAAUGGGGGGAACCCUGAUCCAGCCAUGCCGCAUGUGUGAAGAAGGCCUUAUGGUUGUAAAGCACUUUAAGCGAGGAGGAGGCUCUUUUGGUUAAUACCCAAGAUGAGUGGACGUUACUCGCAGAAUAAGCACCGGCUAACUCUGUGCCAGCCGCCGCGGUAAAAC
rnacentral:rRNA from 1 species